AGAAAGGAGCUUGGAACAGAAUUGCUUACAGGAGAAAGAGUCCGGUCACCGGGCGAGGAGUGUGACAAGGUGUUCACAGCAAUGUGCAAUGGACAAAUCAUUGAUCCAAUGUUGGAGUGUCUCAAGAGCUGGAAUGGUGCUCCUCUACCUAUACACUGGACAGAUUAUUGAUCCAAUGCUGGAGUGUCUCAAGAGCUGGAAUGGUGCGCCUCUACCUAUCUGUUAGGUGUUUGCUUGAUUUCGCGCGACGGGAUCUUUUGUUAAUGUUUGUCAAUGCUAUUUUUCAGAUUCUUUUUUUGCUCUUUGGUGAAUUACUAUCAUAAAUGUUGUGAACUUAUAGUUUUUUGGUUAGCUGAAAGUGCUAAAACUCUUUUAAAUAUGUGGAUUGUAGCUGUAAAUGUCUCUUUUCAGUAUAAACUUAAUGAAAAGUGACAGUGUGCUUAAAAAAAAAACAAAAAACAAAAAAAAAAA
rnacentral:lncRNA from 1 species